rnacentral:ncRNA from 16 species
GUAGCCUUGCGCUUUCGAGGUUCUUCGGCGUUUGUCGAAGCUAAGAAGGGAACGCGGUCAAUGCCGCGGCUGCCCCCGCAACUGUGAACGGUUCAGUUUCUGCCAUGCCACUGCAUGCGCCAGCCAUGGCGCGCGCGGGAAGGCGCAGCAACCGCCAGUCCAAUGACUGGCCAGCCGUCAGCCAGGAGACCUGCCUCGAUACAGAUUCUCACU